rnacentral:rRNA from 1 species
GUGGGGAAUUUUGGACAAUGGGCGAAAGCCUGGUCCAGCCAUGCCGCGUGCAGGAUGAAGGCCUUCGGGUUGUAAACUGCUUUUGUACGGAACGAAAAGACUCUGGUUAAUACCUGGGGUCCAUGACGGUACCGUAAGAAUAAGCACCGGCUAACUACGUGCCAGCAGCCGCGGUAAUACGUAGGGUGCAAGCGUUAAUCGGAAUUACUGGGCGUAAAGCGUGCGCAGGCGGUUAUAUAAGACAGAUGUGAAAUCCCCGGGCUCAACCUGGGAACUGCAUUUGUGACUGUAUAGCUAGAGUACGGUAGAGCGGGAUGGAAUUCCGCGUGUAGCAGUGAAAUGCGUAGAUAUGCGGAGGAACACCGAUGGCGAAGGCAAUCCCCUGGACCUGUACUGACGCUCAUGCACGAAAGCGUGGGGAGCAAACAGGAUUAGAUACCCCGGUAGUCC